rnacentral:lncRNA from 1 species
CACAUAGUUGUAUUCUCAUAGUGCCCAUUAAGUUAAACUGUAUUAAAGUUCAACCAUCAAACAAACAAAAACUAAGUUCAAAUGUGUUUAGAUAUUAUUCCUUCUUUCAAACAUCGCGGAUUUUCAACUAACAUUCCUGGACAGUGGGGAGAGCCUGGAGAAAUGAGAAACUGCGUGAGCAAAACCAGGGAGGAGGGAGCACGUAAGGCACAUUCAGGGAAGUCUUGCUGCUGGAGGAAGUUAGUUUUGGCGAAUGAUCUAGUUUUGGGAUAACUACAAAAUAACCCCUGAAUCAUAGACAUAUCAACAAAAUAUGUGAAUCACACAUCAACAA